rnacentral:rRNA from 1 species
GACGAACGCUGGCGGCGUGCCUAAUACAUGCAAGUUGAGCGAUGAAGAUUGGUGCUUGCACCAAUUUGAAGAGCAGCGAACGGGUGAGUAACGCGUGGGGAAUCUGCCUUUGAGCGGGGGACAACAUUUGGAAACGAAUGCUAAUACCGCAUAACAACUUUAAACAUAAGUUUUAAGUUUGAAAGAUGCAAUUGCAUCACUCAAAGAUGAUCCCGCGUUGUAUUAGCUAGUUGGUGAGGUAAAGGCUCACCAAGGCGAUGAUACAUAGCCGGCCUGAGAGGGUGAGCGGCCACAUUGGGACGGAGACACGGCCCAAACUCCUACGGGAGGCAGCAGUAGGGAAUCUUCGGCAAUGGACGAAGGUCUGACCGAGCAACGCCGCGUGAGUGAAGAAGGUUUUCGGAUCGUAAAACUCUGUUGGUAGAGAAGAACGUUGGUGAGAGUGGAAAGCUCAUCAAGUGACGGUAACUACCCAGAAAGGGACGGCUAACUACGUG